rnacentral:lncRNA from 1 species
UCUCACUCGCCUUUUCUCGUUCUUACAUCCUGUCAUAAAACUUUGUCGCUUUACUAUACUUUAGCUUGAGACCUAUACAUAUCUAUUUAUACUGCUUGCAACUUUCCUUCAACUUGCUUGCACCAUAGAUUUUCUUAUGUUAUUCUGGAAUGUUAAGCAAGAUAUCAUAUCGUCUCUAUCCCUUCUCUACUCUCUUAGCUAGAUUUCUCAGUACUUAGAAACAAUAGGCUAGAAAUAUGCCACUGACGAUGUCGCUAUCAUUCCUAAUUAUUGGAUCCCCGCGCUUCUAGCCUUCUACCCGAAGUAUGGACUAUUCACAACUUUCUGCAUUUAAGUAUCUUGUAUGUUAUUCACCUUUACCUUAUUUACUUAAAAUCUCGCAUCAUAUCUCCUAUCUCUUUCAUAAUCUCCCUUCCACAUAGGUAUAAUUCACACCACAAUCUGAAGCUCUAUUAUAAUACUACAAUUCAGUAGGAGCUUCAUACUGACUUCUUAUGAGGUUGUUAGUUUUUUAACUGGUUUUAUCAUAGAGCUGUUAUAGACUAUGGUUGGUGUACUUUAUCUCUUGUACCUCUGAUAUUAAGAGUGAUCAUGCAAUGUUCUCUAUCACUAGGUCCAUAAUAUUCCGGGUCAAGUAAUCAGACUCUUGAUUUACUUAGUUGAUGUCACUCUUUAGUUUCUUCUUAACUCUGAUCAACCUUUAUGUAGGCUUAAUCUAUCUUCCGAUCUGUGGUUCAUGGUAUUAGUUAUGGGCUUGAGAAAUAUGCAUGAUACAACCCUUUAAUAAUUUAAUCCUUCAUUUAUGACCUGACUCAAUUCUUUCUUUUAACGUAUACCAGAAUCUUCUAUGGCUGUAUAUGCUACAUGUAUAAAACUCUGAACCCUUAAGUGAGUUCAUAACGUAACAAACUUUGGAUCAUUGAUCGAAUAAUUUCUUUCGUUCCAUUUUAGCUUUCUUUCAACGUAAGCUAUUACUUUUUCUAGUCUUUCUGCCCCUUGUUGCGUCCAUACUUAGCUCAUCUUAGUGCUCAUACAUGCCAGAGUUUUUAUGCAACUCAUACGAUCUCGAAUAUUACUUUUAAUUUUACUUCUUGUUCAUUAGUCAUGGUAGGUUCCACUUUCCUUUGGAGUGCUUACAAUGUUGUUGUGAGACUAUUAUUACACGACCAUUUCCUCUAUAGGUCAUUGUAUUUAAGUUGAAGCCUUAUUCCUUAUUUCCUCAGCUAGUCUUUUGUUGUAGUACUUAAGAAUAACCCUUGACCCUCGUAAAGUUGUGAGCUUAUUACAGACCUUUUGAUGUUCUUGCCCAUAAUUAUCCGUAGUUACUUACCUCCGUGCCCUUGUGCUUAUAGGGUUGCUUCUGAGCUGACAUUUUGAUUGCCUUCCCAGUGUCACUUUCUUUUAUCCCCGUAACACUCAUACGGAACCUUUAACUACUCCAACUCCAGUUUGAAUAUAUCCCAAGUAUUAUAAUGACAUUACUGCGAGGUUGAAUUCUCCAUGUUGGGGUUUACUACAUUCAUCUUGCAUGAUCUGUUGAAUUUUCCGUAACUUCUUGUCUAGUCAUGACUAGGCUCUUCAUGAAUCAACUACUAAUUACUCGUCGGCCCAUUCUCAUAUCCAUAUUCUGUGUAAUCUUUCUCAGGUUAUUUCCUUUGUCUAACUUACCUCUUGCACUGGCUCCUUAUUUAUCAAUAACCUUCUAGGCAAGAAACCUUACUUCUUUUUUCUGACAUCAUGCUUAUGUAACGUUAUGGAAUCAUAGCAUAACUGUAGGAUUCAGAUAAGUGCAAUCUCAUCCCUUUCUCAUUUUUAUCGCAUUCUUCCUUUAUCAUUCCAUAUUCCCCCUUUAGGGGAGCACUAAGACUUGGAGCUACGACAACCUUCCUAUAGAUGUUUUUCCUCUCCAUCUUUGGCGUCCUUUCGCAUCAUUAAUGACGCUUACUUGCCUUGCGGUAAUUCUUAUGUACCAAGGAUAACAAAAUUCUUCAAUCGCAAUGGUGGCACUUAGUGUAAGUGGCACAUAUAGUCCCUUAAGCUUACUUUGCUCACAUUGCUUGCUUUAGAGAAGCAUUUUUCUGAAUGACCAUCCUUUGAAUUCAUCAUGGAUCUUCUUCUGUUGUCCAUUCUAUUAUUGCUAGAACGCAAAUCUGAAAUUCUCAUGAUGCUGACUAUUAUCAAAUCACUCAGUUCCUAAUUCAUGUUUAGUUCAUCUUGUUUACCAGUCCAUAUUGAUUUCUAUUAAUCUGGGGUCUAACUUUUCCUUCUGUUAAUCACAUUAGAGUUCCAAACUUAUUUCUUGAAAUGAGGAUAUGACUUUAUGGCCUAUAUUUUAUUUUAUUUUAUUUUUCUCAAGGCCUGUCAUCUUUCGUCUUUUCCUUCACUUGACUGUAGACUCUGUAAUACUGUCAUCAUUUUUUGACCUACCUUUGUCAUCCAUGUAUCACAUCUUACUCAUAAUGCUUCAUUAACUCUCUUCUUAUUUCCUGCUAAUCAUCUAGGUCUAUUGCUUUAGUUUGAAAACUUGAACAAAAUAUUCUUUUGCUUUUGGCUCCCCUUGCUCCAUCCCUUGGCCCUUCGGAUUGCGAAGCAUUCUCGUUCUACUAGGAAUGGGAGCCAUACUAAGGUAAUAUUUAUCCCUUUAAGGCUUCCAGUGCAUAUCUUUGUAGUACUCAUAUCUAGCUGUAUUAUUUUAGAGUGCACCAUCUGGGUGUCUCAUAAAGAGAUCCAUUAGCACAUUUGCAAUAUCCUUCAGAAAUGUCAACUGACGCAAACAAUUCAUCUAUCAUAUCUUCUUAUACUACUUCUGUUAACCCCCAUAGGUAUAUCUGGAAUGGGUGCGACCAAUUGUAUAUACAUCUGUUACUAUUGAAUAUAACUCAAUAGCUUAUAUUCCUCUGCCUCAAUUAUAAACGCCGUCAAUCUUCAAUAAUUGGGCGCCUCGUACCUCUAGAGAUGUGAUUUUUGACCCUCCCCAAGAUUUUACAUAUUUUAGCGUUUAAAUACUUAGUUUAGGUCUAAUAUAGGUAUUUCAACUAAUUUUUACUCUUUUACUUUAUUUCGUCACAAAAAAUGAAAAUUACAAAAAUAUUUUAGUUUACGUAUCUUUCAUAAAUUUAAAUAAAAAAUAUACAAAAUAGUACCUUAUUUUUUUAUUUUUAUAUAAUCUUGAAAACACAAAAAUAGUUUUUAUAUAGUUUAGUUUAAUCAAUUAGAAUUAGUUCUAUAUUUUUAUAUUAUAAAUUGUAUAUAAUUUUAGAAGGAGAAAUUAGUUUUGGGUUGGUUUAUCCCGUCUUUAUGAAUUUUGUAGUUUUUGUAGUCUUUGGCCCAAUUUCAAGGCCCAAUAAUACCAAACCCAUACCCCCUUAACCUAAAAAACUUUCUAUAUAACUUAAAACCAGUAUAAAAAUCCCUAGACCUACACAGACCUAGACCCUAAGAAUCAACGCCGUUCAACAUCAGAAACUGCCAUCCCCUCCCUGAACCUGAACAUCGAUUCUUCUUCAACAAAGAUCGAAAAAUGCCCAAGUAUGAGCAUCAGCUUCUUCAGCGUUUGAACACACGAGAAUACCCCCCCCCCCACCCCACCGUUCUGCUUCUUCCUUCAACCUUCCAAUGACCCCUCCUCUCCAAAAACACAGCAGCAACAACCACUAAGCCCGCCUGAAAUCCAUCUCCUCUCCAUCGUUACUGUCAUCGCCUCACAGCCGAAAUCCGGCGAAAAGACACUAGUAGCAAAAAGCUUAAAAUCAGCCGCAAAGAACAAGAACAGAACGCUCUCCUCCAUCUCCAAUAUCCAAUGACACCCAUCCUCUUCACCACCAAGCCAGCCGUCGACCACCUUGACCACCACUCCGAUGCCUCGCUCACGAACAGACCCUUCCCCCUAGUUUGCCUUUUCUUCUUUUCCUAUCCAUCAUCUCAAAACAAAUUCCUUCAAUCUCUCAUCCAUAAUACGCACGCAGAUACACAUAAAAACUGAUGAGGAAAAGUUGGAAAGAAAUUCCGAGAUCUAAGAAAACUGGAAAAAAGUCGCAAAUUGCUUCUGUCAUCUUCCUUGACUCUGAUUUUCAUUUCAUUGCUUGGUCUUGGGUUUGUUUGAAAGCAGAAGGGAGGACUAUUGUGUAGGGUUCUAUUUCAUCCGUGGCUAUUUUUUUUCAGAUCUAAGAUCUAUUUGCUGCUACUAGGUAUGUCAAAAUCCGCUUGGAGCUCCCUUUGAAUGUGCAAAUAAAGAUUUAAAGGAUUGUUUGAUUCCAUGGUUAUGUUUAAAUUAAUGAACUCUUUGGUUUUGUUUGUUUGGAUAUGUUUUUGUUUGGAAUCUUGUUUUAUUUUCUUAGUUCUUUAAUAAAUAUGUACUAUUGGUCUCUACUAUAUUAUGCUUUUGUAUUGUGAUAUUCCUUUUUGGUUUUGAUGAAGAUUCUAAAUUUGAUUAGUGAAUAAUUUGUAGAAAUUAAUCUUUUCGCUAGGAAAAUAUGUGGGCAAGUAAGAAAGUGUACUGUUUUUUGGCCUGUUUGGUUUGAAUUAUUUUGGAAAUUUAUUCUUAGAGAAAUGUUUAAAAUAUAAUCAAUUCAAUGAAGUAAUGAUUUUAUUUGCUCAAUAUCUUUUGGACAUUAACAAGACACUAAUUCUGAUUGUGAUAUGAGAUAUGUUUUGAAACAGGUAAAUUGAUCCAAACCAAAAAUACCCAUAUAGUAAACAAACAUUGUAGCUUGCUUUAGGCGUGCAUUAAAUCUAUCAUCCUGAUUGUGGACACGUUCGCGUGACAUAAUUACGAUUUUAAAAAACAAAAUCGGAGUAUGCGUUCGCGCAACUUCAACUAAAUUUUCUUAAUAAUAAUAAUAAAGCAUUAUUAAUUGUGGACACGUUUGUGUGACAUGAUUUUUGACGCGCCAAACAAAUGGGUGCACGUACGCGUGACCUGUUUCAAGAUAAUUUCCUAAUUAAAAGA